CCCUGAGUAACGGCGAGCGAAAAGGGAAGAGCCCAGCGCCGAAUCCCCGGNNNNCCCGGUCGCGGGAAAUGUGGCGUUUGGGAGUGAGCGUGUCGGGCUCGGAGGCGGCGGCAAGUCCCCCUGACCGGGGCCUAUCCGUAGCGGGUGCGAGGCCCAUAGCCGCCGCGGCCGUCCCGAAUGCGAUCUCCUCGGAGUCGGGUUGCUUGGGAGUGCAGCCCUAAUCGGGUGGUAAACUCCACCUAAGGCUAAACACCGCCGUGAGACCGAUAGCAAACAAGUACCGUGAGGGAAAGUUGCAAAGAACUUUGAAGAGAGAGUUCAAGAGUACGUGAAACUGCUCAGAGGUAAACGGGUGGGCCCUCGAAAUCCUGUGGCGAGAGGAUUCAGUCUGCGUCGUUCGGCGUCUGGGGGGAAGAAAUCCGAGCAGGGCUUCCGCGGACGCGGGCCGUCCCCGCAGACGAUCCCCCGACCGUCGCAGACGCAUUUGUCUCUCGUCCCGAGGACGCUGCAGCCGGUCUGGGAGUGCAAGCGCGACGGCCUGAAGGUCGGGAGCCGGAAGGUGGCCGGUGGCCCGCCCCCGUGCGGGUCGCCGGUUGUUAGCCGUCCCGACAGUGGCUCGUCUCCAGACCGUGGUGUCGCGAGUCCCCUUCCGGGACUCCUCGUCUCCACCCCCGCGUCGCGGGACAGGGCCCGGCCAGGGUCUCCGGCGCCGGCCGUCGCACUCUCGAGGAGUGGGCGGACGGGCCCGAGAGCCGAAUCGCCGGGACGGACCCGCGGGGGACCGGAGGCUGGCAGCGAGUAGGUCGGUCACCCACCCGUCCCGUCUUGAAACACGGACCAAGGAGUCCAACAUGUGCGCGAGUCAAUGGGUCUUGAACAGGCCCAUGGGCGCAAUGAAAGCGAAGGACCGCCCGGCGCGGUCCGAGCGGGGAUCCGCGGCCCCCGGGCCGCGGCGCACCCGCGACCCGUCCCGUCCGGCUCGCCGGUGGGGCGGAGUCCGAGCGUACACGUUGGGACCCGAAAGAUGGUGAACUAUGCCCGGACAGGACGAGGCCAGAGGAAACUCUGGUGGAGGUCCGCAGCGGUUCUGACGUGCAAAUCGAUCGUCAGAUCCGGGUCUAGGGGCG
rnacentral:rRNA from 1 species